UAUUCAUAUAUCAGUACCUCAAAGACUUCAUUUAUUCAUGAUUUUGAGAUUUUAAAAGGCGCACUAAUUGAUUACCAAAGUAGGCAAGCUUGUGUUUGGACUUUGGACUAUUUGAGCAAGCCAAACCGUCUAAUUUUGACAAAAAUGCCCAUUUAGUUUGGCCAGCCUUGUUUAAGGGCUAGAAAAUUGUACGAUUAGACAAGAAAGAAAUAAAAGUUCAAUUGUCGGGACCAUCAUUAUCCCAACCUCAGACUUGUUCAAGGUCAAGAAAUGAUAUCCCACAACCUGUUCUAGGUUACAGAUUUAUAGAGAUUGAGAACGAUGAAGAUCAUGGAUUGCGAUGGUAAAGCUGGUUUAGGAUACUAAGUGCUAUUCGAAUUUGGGAACAACCAACAUCCUAUGUAGUAGAAACAAUAUUAGCAUCGAUUGCUUUUGGCACGGUAUCUGGAUUCUAGUUGGCUGGUGUCUUGCUCUAAGAGGCAUCAAGGCUCUUGGAUUGGGCAUACAACAAAGGAGGAGUGUGAUCUGUUGUGUUUUUGGCAGUUGGUGUUUUAGAGCUGAGGCAGUGUUCAUUUUUUACAUUCACCCACUUAUCCGCAACAAAAUGAUGAUAGUGCGGAAUGCAGUGCUUUCCAGUGAUGCGGAAUCUGAAUGUCAUGGUUCAAUGGACUGGGAAUUUUCUUCCCUGGAGGCAUCUUCCAGUUCUAGCAUAUAUGAUCAUCGCGUUGAACAUUUAGAUUCCUAUGACAUAUCUAAAUUUGAUGGAGGAAAGCUAGAACAGUUGGCUAAAGCCAGGAAUAUAGGUGUUCUAGAAAUGAAUCCAGAAGAUGAGGUGGAAGGGGAAAUUAUUUUUCACCAGCAUAGGCUGCUCUGCAAUUUUGUUGUGAGAAAGAGCAAUAGUGAUGAUUUAAUUUGCAAGGUCAUAAAGGGUCUACCACAGGAGAUUGAUGCCAUUGCAAAGCAACAGUGCGAUGCUAUACUUGUCAACCAGUAUCUUUUUAAGCUUAGAGAAAUGAAAAAAUGAGGAAGGAAAGAGAGAAGGCACAAGGAAGCCUAGGCUGUGCUAGCUAUUGCAACUGAUGCCGCUGCAGCUUCAUUGAGGAUCUCUUCGCAAAGGAAAGAUGCGCCCAAUGAAGAGAACCUGUUGAAAGUGAACCAUUCCACUGGAAGACCUGGGCUUUACUCUCAGCAAAUGCCACGGGCGAAGGAGACACUUCAAAGUUGGUUGUUCCACUGGUUUCAUCAUAAAUAAAAUAUGAUUUUGGAGCAAUCUCAGGUUUUUUUAAAGAACAUCCAAGGACUUGUGACAUCUGCCAUUUGCUGACGGUCUGAGACAUUUCUCAACCAGAUCGUAGUGUGUUCGAGUUGCAAGGUUGCGAUUUAUUUGGAUUGCUAUCAUAGUGUUAAAAUUCUAUGGGUCCAUGGAACUAUGAAUUAUGCGAGGAUUUAUUGUCAUCAAGAAGUUCUGGA